GAGGGGUAUUUUUCGAAUAAAAUUGUCCGAGUAAGCGAUAGCCGGGUCUCUAGGUACACCUUAAAUAUAUUUAUAUUUUCCUUGUUUAGGUGAAAGGGAAAAAAUAAGGACAAAAAAUCUUUUCCGAAACACGGAUUCGGGCUUGAACUCGAGAAUCCUAGGAUUAUAAUAGGUAUGUAUAACCAUUACAUCCAUUCGGCUACGACAAACAUAUUCGAGAGAAGGCAAUAUAGAAUUAUUAAAGGGAAAACAUUUUUUUGGCAUACUAGUUUGAACUCGGAAACUCCAGGAUCAUAAUAGGCAU